AUUGAACGCUGGCGGCAUGCUUUACACAUGCAAGUCGAACGGUAACAGGCCUUCGGGUGCUGACGAGUGGCGAACGGGUGAGUAAUGCAUCGGAACGUGCCCAGAGGUGGGGGAUAACGCAGCGAAAGCUGUGCUAAUACCGCAUGUGAUCUGAGGAUGAAAGCGGGGGACCAGGCAGCAAUGUUUGGCCUCGCGCCUUUGGAGCGGCCGAUGUCAGAUUAGGUAGUUGGUGGGGUAAAGGCCUACCAAGCCGACGAUCUGUAGCUGGUCUGAGAGGACGACCAGACACACUGGGACUGAGACACGGCCCAGACUCCUACGGGAGGCAGCAGUGGGGAAUUUUGGACAAUGGGCGCAAGCCUGAUCCAGCAAUGCCGCGUGCGGGAAGAAGGCCUUCGGGUUGUAAACCGCUUUUGUACGGAACGAAAAGGCUCUGGCUAAUACCUGGGGCUGAUGACGGUACCGUAAGAAUAAGCACCGGCUAACUACGUA
rnacentral:rRNA from 1 species